rnacentral:rRNA from 1 species
AAAGAAUUUGGCGGUGUUUUAUUCUAAUCAGAGGAACUUGCCCCGUUAUCGAUAGUCCUCGUUAUAUCUUUCUUGAUUUAUUUAGUAUGUAUACCGCCGUUAUAAGUUUAUUUUUUUAGAAUUUAUUUACUGGUAAUUUUAUUUUAUUUUAUUUCAGGUCAAGGUGCAGCUUAUAAUUAAGUGGAGGUGAGUUACAAUAUUAUUUAAAUAAAUGGAUUUUUUUUUUGAAAAUUUUAAUGAAGGUGGAUUUGAUGGUAAUUUUAUUUAUAGAUUUAUUUUGAAUUUAGCUCUAAAACAAGUACACAUCGCCCGUCGCUC